rnacentral:rRNA from 1 species
GCUCAAAUUUGAAAUCUGGCCCUCGGGUCCGAGUUGUAAUUUGCAGAGGAUGCUUUUGGCGCGGUGCCUUCCGAGUUCCCUGGAAUGGGACGCCUUAGAGGGUGAGAGCCCCGUACGGUUGGACACCAAGCCUCUGUAAAGCUCCUUCGACGAGUCGAGUAGUUUGGGAAUGCUGCUCUAAAUGGGAGGUAAAUUUCUUCUAAAGCUAAAUAUUGGCCAGAGACCGAUAGCGCACAAGUAGAGUGAUCGAAAGAUGAAAAGCACUUUGAAAAGAGGGUUAAAUAGCACGUGAAAUUGUUGAAAGGGAAGCGUUUGCGACCAGACCUCUUCCCGGCGGAUCAUCCGGUGUUCUCACCGGUGCACUUCGCCGGGUCGAGGCCAGCAUCGGUCUCUGUAGGGGGAUAAAAGCUCAGGGAACGUAGCUCCUUCGGGAGUGUUAUAGCCCUCUGCACAAUGCCCUUACGGGGACCGAGGACCGCGCCUUCGGGCAAGGAUGCUGGCGUAAUGGUCGCCAACGACCCGUCUUGAAACACGGACCAAGGAGUCGAACAUUUGUGCGAGUGUUUGGGUGUUAAACCCUCACGCGCAAUGAAAGUGAACGGAGGUGAGAGCCCCUCGGGGUGCAUCAUCGACCGAUCCUGAUGUCUUCGGAUGGAUUUGAGUAGGAGCACAACUGUUCGGACCCGAAAGAUGGUGAACUAUGCGUGGAUAGGGUGAAGCCAGAGGAAACUCUGGUGGAGGCUCGCAGCGGUUCUGACGUGCAAAUCGAUCGUCAAAUCUGCGCAUGGGGGCGAAAGACUUAUCGAACCAUCUAGUAGCUGGUUACCGCCGAAGUUUCCCUCAGGAUAGCAGUGUUGUUCUUCAGUUUUAUGAGGUAAAGCGAAUGAUUAGGGACUCGGGGGCGCUUUUUAGCCUUCAUCCAUUCUCAAACUUUAAAUAUGUAAGAAGC